GAAUUUUGGGCAAUGGCCGAAAGGCUGACCCAGCGACGCCGCGUGUGGGAGGAAGCCCUUCGGGGUGUAAACCACUGUCGGGAGGGACGAAUGAGGGGAGCGGGAAUACGGCUUCUCUGUGACGGUACCUUCAAAGGAAGCGCCGGCUAACUCUGUGCCAGCAGCCGCGGUAAGACAGAGGGCGCGAGCGUUGUUCGGAAUUACUGGGCGUAAAGCGCGCGUAGGCGGAUCUGUAUGUCCGUAAGUGAAAUCCCGCCGCUCAACGGCGGGGCUGCUUGGGAAACGGCAGGUCUGGGGACCGGUAGAGGUCGGUAGAAUUCCCGGUGUAGCGGUGGAAUGCGUAGAGAUCGGGAAGAAUACCCGUGGCGAAGGCGGCCGACUGGGCCGGAUCCGACGCUGAUGCGCGAAAGCGUGGGGAGCAAA
rnacentral:rRNA from 1 species